AUGGUAGCUAAAGUUUAAAAAAGAAAAGGUAUAUAUUAGUAUAUUACAGUUACAUUUGAAAGAUCUUCCAUUUCAAAGAUUUUGCAACAAUAUGGAUAACAUCAAGAAUAAUCACAACCCCAUUCCAUUCCAUUAUUACAUUAAAGUAUCUUAGCCCCCCUCUUCAAAUAAAAAGAAAAAAGUGAAGGCAUCUCUUCUCAGGGAAAAGAUUAGCAGUUAUACCUUCAGCAACAAUUGAUAUGAAAAAUAAUCUAAAACAGUAACGCAACCUUGUAUCCAUAAUGUCAUUAAAAUAAUGCAGGCAAAAUGCCUACAUGUCAAUUAGAUUUCUACACAUAGAUCAAGUACUGUCAUGGUUAGUAGGUUCAAAAUAAAAGUGCUCCUUCAAGGAUAAAUGAAUUUUCACCACACUUAAAUAGUUCAAAGAAAUUAGACGCUUUUAAUCCAGUGGACAUGUGUGAACAGGAGCCGUAGACUAAGGAGUUUCACAUUUUAAUCAAAGGUGAAUAUUUUGGAAUGGGGUUUGCCAACAAAAAGCAGGUCUAAAACUCAGUGCCAAAUAUGUACGUGUCGCUCUAAAGCAGAAGCAAAGAUUGUUACAAAAUCCUCAGUGGCAGCAGUAGUACCAGACUCUCUUUCCCUUUUCAUAAAUGUUAAAUUACAAGGCUCACAUCUUAUGCUGUUUACCAAUUUAAAGUAAAACAGAAAAGUUGAACUACAUAGGCUUGAGAAUUAAACAAAAAUGAGGACACUGAUUAAAA